GACGAACGCUGGCGGCGUGCUUAACACAUGCAAGUCGAACGGAAAGGCCCUGCUUUUGUGGGGUGCUCGAGUGGCGAACGGGUGAGUAACACGUGAGCAACCUGCCCUUGACUUUGGGAUAACUUCAGGAAACUGGGGCUAAUACCGGAUAGGAGCUCCUGCUGCAUGGUGGGGGUUGGAAAGUUUCGGCGGUUGGGGAUGGACUCGCGGCUUAUCAGCUUGUUGGUGGGGUAGUGGCUUACCGAGGCUUUGACGGGUAGCCGGCCUGAGAGGGUGACCGGCCACAAGGGGACUGAGAUACGGCCCAGACUCCUACGGGAGGCAGCAGUGGGGAAUAUUGCACAAUGGGCGGGAGCCUGAUGCAGCAACGCCGCGUGCGGGAUGACGGCCUUCGGGUUGUAAACCGCUUUCGCCUGUGACGAAGCGUGAGUGACGGUAAUGGGUAAAGAAGCACCGGCUAACUACGUG
rnacentral:rRNA from 1 species